GGAGGGUGGGAGAGCUGAUGUUUCUGUUAUGCCGGGAACAAUGUUAAAGCCUUGCACAUAUCUGUAUGACUUAGUUAUUGUAAGCCAAUGAGGUAGGAGAUCGUUGUAGUUCACUACUGAGAUCAGAAAGGUUUAGUCACUUGUGGUUGUGUGCACAAAAAUCCAGUUUGAAGUCAUUUGGGUUACAGAGUCAUUUGAACCAAUUGGACUCCCAAGUUCACAUUCUGCUGUAGCAUUGCACUAAAAAAGGGUUGGUUUUAUUUGUUGGGCUGAGCACAAUAAGGUGCACACCUUACCCAGCAAGUAGAGGCCCAGGGUUCAAGCCCCAGGUCCCUGCCUACAGGGAGGAGAUUUUUUAAGCUUCUAAAAGAAAAAUUGUGAUGAGAUUUUAAAAAAUGGCGAAUUCAUAUUAGGUUGGUCUAGAAAGGGUGUGUUUAAAGAUGACAUUGGCCAUGUAUAGGGAUGUUUGAUAGUUUCUCACUUAAACAGUCUGUAUUGAACUUAAUCUUAGCUCUAGGUAUCAGUGUGUUGAGAGUUGUUGCUGUUGGUUUAUGGUUUAAAGUAUUUGACAUACUAACAUAUGUGCCAAAAGUAAAGCUCACAGUCAAGAUACUUGCUAAGGAAUCCUGAUCUAAUAAACAUCACUUACUAAGUGGGCUUUUUAUGUUGUGUUUACUUGCUACUGUUUCCAUCAGAAUCCAGGGUUGUAGGUGAUUAAAUGUGGAUUGGUAGGCACCACUACAGACCAGCACCAGAAUCUCUGUAGGGGGAGAUAGAGUCUGAUCUGUGCUCCAUUGGAGGAUUUUUUAAACUGCUGUUGCUGUGCCAAGCUUUUGCUUUAUAUGUGAGGGAGAUUUGAUAGGUGGGUUCAGCACUGAAGUCUAAUUGGCUGAGCUGUUUCUAUGGUUAGUCUAAACUUAAUUUGAUUGGUGGAUUCAAGGAGUGAGCAUCCAUUAAGUUCUCAGUAAAUUGAAAUUACUGAAAUUUCAAACUACUUAAAUCUUUCAUUGCUGCUACUUACAACUUUAUUUUGUUUUAAUCAUCUUCAGGUGCUGUUUCAUUUGUUGCUACAAUUGCAAGUAAUUUUUCACUAUAUGUAAAACAAACUGCUUAAGCAUUGAUAUAAAGCUGCUAAUUUUGUUUUCUAGUUACUUAAUUGUAGGGCCACAACACUUUACUUCAGAACUCAAUAUUUUUAUAGUUGUGUCAGGGAAUGAGCUUUGUAAAUUGAGAUUACUGAACAACCUGGGUAGAUGACUUGUGUUAACUGACAUGUUAUUUAAGAUCUAUGUUUUUGUUGCCGUGAUUCUAUUUUAAUCAAAAUGGUCUGUAUUCUGCCUCUAGUAAUUUAGCACUAGUAGCUUUUAUUGGAAUAAGUAAUCUUCAUUAGAGUUUUUGCUUUAUUAGAGAUGAAGAAUUUGCCAGUAGAAGUAGAAGGGAGCAAUUGAGAGAGUCAGGCGAUAGUGCAGCGUGUUAAGCACAGAUGGCGCAAAGUGCAAGGACUGGCUUAAGGAUCCCAGUUCAAGCCCCUGGCUCCUCACCUGCAGGGGAGUUGCUUCACAAGCAGUGAAGCAGGUCUGCAGGUGUCUCUGUCUUCCCCCUCCUCUCUCCAUUUCUCUCUUAUCCUAUCCAACAAUGAUGACAUCAAUAACAAUAAAACAAGAGCAACAAAAGGGAAUAAAUAAAUAUUUUUUAAAAAGAGAGCAAUUGAAAUGGAAUUUUAAGAGUCACUAUUUUUUGGCAGUAAAAUUGCAGUUUAGAAAUUAGGGGUUGGUAAACUUAGGUUUAAGCUCAGGUUUAAGCUGGACUCCACCUGUAGGGUAGGGGGGAGGCCAAGGGCUUCACGAAUUAGUACUGCAGGUAUCUUUCUCCAAAUUUCUAUUCAAAAAGCUACCAGGUGCUGAGCCCCAGUGAAAACCCCACUGGCAAUGUUU